rnacentral:tRNA from 1 species
GGGGUCGUAGUUCAGAUGGUUAGAACGCCGGCCUGUCAAGCCGGAGGUCGCGAGUUCAAAUCUCGUCGACCCCGCCA